GAAUUUUGGACAAUGGGCGAAAGCCUGAUCCAGCAAUGCCGCGUGUGUGAAGAAGGCCUUCGGGUUGUAAAGCACUUUUGUCCGGAAAGAAAUCCUUGGCUCUAAUACAGCCGGGGGAUGACGGUACCGGAAGAAUAAGCACCGGCUAACUACGUGCCAGCAGCCGCGGUAAUACGUAGGGUGCAAGCGUUAAUCGGAAUUACUGGGCGUAAAGCGUGCGCAGGCGGUUUGCUAAGACCGAUGUGAAAUCCCCGGGCUCAACCUGGGAACUGCAUUGGUGACUGGCAGGCUAGAGUAUGGCAGAGGGGGGUAGAAUUCCACGUGUAGCAGUGAAAUGCGUAGAGAUGUGGAGGAAUACCGAUGGCGAAGGCAGCCCCCUGGGCCAAUACUGACGCUCAUGCACGAAAGCGUGGGGAGCAAACAGGAUUAGAUACCCUGGUAGUCCACGCCCUAAACGAUGUCAACUAGUUGUUGGGGAUUCAUUUCCUUAGUAACGUAGCUAACGCGUGAUGUUGACCGCCUGGGGAGUACGGUCGCAAGAUUAAAACUCAAAGGAAUUGACGGGGACCCGCACAAGCGGUGGAUGAUGUGGAUUAAUUCGAUGCAACGCGAAAAACCUUACCUACCCUUGACAUGGUCGGAAUCCUGCUGAGAGGUGGGAGUGCUCGAAAGAGAACCGGCGCACAGGUGCUGCA
rnacentral:rRNA from 1 species